rnacentral:rRNA from 1 species
UACGGAGGGUGCAAGCGUUGUUCGGAAUUACUGGGCGUAAAGGGCGUGUAGGCGGCCGAGCAAGUCGAGCGUGAAAGCCCUCGGCUCAACCGAGGAAGUGCGCCCGAAACUACUCAGCUCGAGUACCGGAGAGGGAGGUGGAAUUCCCGGUGUAGAGGUGAAAUUCGUAGAUAUCGGGAGGAACACCGGUGGCGAAGGCGGCCUCCUGGACGGAUACUGACGCUGAGACGCGAAAGCGUGGGUAG